CCUACGGGAGGCUGCAGUGGGGAAUAUUGGACAAUGGGCGAAAGCCUGAUCCAGCCACGCCGCGUGUGUGAAGAAGGCCUUCGGGUUGUAAAGCACUUUCAGUGGGGAAGAAAGCCUUGGGGCUAAUACCCUCGAGGAAGGACAUCACCCACAGAAGAAGCACCGGCUAACUCCGUGCCAGCAGCCGCGGUAAUACGGAGGGUGCGAGCGUUAAUCGGAAUUACUGGGCGUAAAGCGCGCGUAGGCGGUCUGAUAAGCCGGUUGUGAAAGCCCCGGGCUCAACCUGGGAACGGCAUCCGGAACUGUCAGGCUAGAGUGCAGGAGAGGAAGGUAGAAUUCCCGGUGUAGCGGUGAAAUGCGUAGAGAUCGGGAGGAAUACCAGUGGCGAAGGCGGCCUUCUGGACUGACACUGACGCUGAGGUGCGAAAGCGUGGGUAGCAAACAGGAUUAGAUACCCUUGUAGUC
rnacentral:rRNA from 1 species